AUGGCGAAGCCGAUAUCAAUAGAGGUGUGGAACCCCAGCGGCAAGUACCGUGUGGUGAGCACCAAGUCCAUGCCCGGCACCCGCUGGAUCAAGCUCCUCACUGACAACGACUGCCGCCUCGAGAUAUGCACGGAGAAGAAGACCAUCCUCUCUGUCGACGACAUACUGGCACUCAUCGGUGAUCACUGCCAUGGUGUCAUCGGCCAGCUAACAGAGGACUGGGGGGAAGUGCUCUUCUCUGCGCUCAAGCGCGCUGGCGGGACAGCCUUCAGCAACAUGGCCGUCGGUUACAACAACGUCGACGUAGAUGCUGCCAACAGGAAUGGCAUCGCCAUCGGCAACACGCCUGGUGUUCUUACUGAGACGACGGCGGAGCUAGCGGCAUCGCUGUCGGUGGCGGCUGCCCGGAGGAUCGUUGAGGCCGACCAAUUCAUGAGGGCUGGCCUCUACGACGGAUGGCUCCCGCACCUGUUUGUUGGGAACUUGCUCAAGGGGCAGACUGUUGGAGUGAUCGGAGCUGGCCGCAUCGGCUCAGCUUAUGCAAGGAUGAUGAUUGAGGGGUUCAAGAUGAACUUGAUCUACUUCGACCUGUACCAGUCCACACGGCUCGAGAAAUUCGUCACCGCGUAUGGCCAGUUCCUGAAAGCCAAUGGUGAGCAGCCCGUGACAUGGAAGAGGGCUUCCAGCAUGGAGGAGGUCCUCAGGGAGGCUGAUGUGAUAAGCCUGCACCCAGUGCUGGACAAGACAACGUACCACCUGAUAAACCCAGAGCGGCUGGCGAUGAUGAAGAAGGAGGCAGUGCUGGUGAACGCGAGCCGUGGCCCGGUGAUCGACGAGGUAGCACUGGUGGAGCACCUGAGGGCGAAUCCCAUGUUCCGUGUUGGCCUCGAUGUUUUUGAGGAUGAGCCUUACAUGAAGCCAGGGCUGGCUGAGAUGAAGAAUGCCGUUGUCGUGCCUCACAUCGCAUCUGCAUCCAAGUGGACGCGUGAAGGGAUGGCGACACUCGCUGCUCUUAACGUGCUUGGUAAGAUAAAGGGGUACCCGGUGUGGGGGAACCCGAACGCGGUGGAGCCCUUCCUCGACGAGAAGGCGGCGCCGCCCCCUGCCUGCCCAAGCAUCGUUAAUGCCAAGCAGCUCGGCCUGCCAUCUUCCAAGCUUUAG
rnacentral:rRNA from 1 species